rnacentral:lncRNA from 1 species
CGCCAUCUCCUUCGCCUCCACCACCUCCAGUUUACUCCCCUCCUCCACCUCCACCAGUUUACUCACCUCCACCACCCCCUCCUCCCCCACCGCCACCACCACCUGUUUAUUUUCCGCCACCACCUCCACCUUCACCACCACCACCGUCUCCCCCUCCACCCUCACCCCCACCACCUUCUCCAUCACCGCCUCCCCCUCCCUCGCCACCACCACCGGUAUUAUCGCCCCCGCCUCCAGUUUAUUGCGUCCGUUCCCCACCACCGCCACCGCCAAAUUCUCCCCCGCCUCCCAUUUAUUCUCCACCACCACCUCCAGUUCAUUCACCGCCCCCACCAAGUCCUUACUAUAGUUCACCACCGCCCCCGCCGCCACAUCAUUCACCUCCACCACCUCCCCACUCGCCACCCCCGCCUCCACCUAUCUAUCCAUACGCAUCACCGCCACCGCCACCCGUGCAUUCCCCACCACCACCUGUCCAUUCUCCACCACCUCCAUGCAUAGAACCGCCUCCUCCUUCUCCACCACCCCCAUCACCACCUCCAUGCAUAGAACCGCCUCCUCCUCCUUCUCCACCACCAUGUGUAGAAUAUUCGCCACCUCCACCAUCACCACACUCACCACCGCCACCACCAGUUCAUUACUUGCCUCCACCAUCACCAUCACCCCCACCACCACCUGUGUAUGCUUCUCCGCCACCUCCACCAUCUCUGCCUCCCCCAGUUUACUACCAUUCUCCGCCCCCACCCUCACCACCUC